CAGUGACCCUGCAUUGGGUUUUUACUCACUCCGGCAAUCUGUAUGAUGAUAAAAGUAAAUACAAGCGUGCCUGAAAACUGCAUCAUCCAGGACUUCAUAAACACACACACAUCCCUCAUGGAAGUUCUGAAAUCUUGAUGUUCAUCAAAGCUUUAGUUAAUGUAUGUGCUGAGUCUUCAUGGUAGAAAUUAGGGAGACUAGAUACGAAAGCAUUUUAAAGCUGUAGAAAUUGUUUAUGAGAAUAAGACUCUGUUCAUAAAUCCCAGAUGCAGAAAAAGAAAUUUAUAUGCAAGAACUUUGAAAGCAUAGCCUUGCCUAUCUAAAUAGCACUUCCAGGCUUAUCUGCAUGAAAGGCCCCAGUACUUCAUUAGCUCACGAACUCAUCACAAUUUAAUGAAGAACUGUGUGUUCUGGCCACCUCCAUCAGUCUGCCUCUCUGGUGUGAACAAACUCAUUGUUUUUCUGAGGAUACACAAAUCUGAACCCUGUUGAACUCCACUUUCAGGGCAGUGAGGACUUCCUUCCAGGCAUCUUAUUUUAAGAUGUGAAGAAUAUUUGGGGAUUAAAUACACACCAUAUUAGUGAUCUGUCUCUCAAACUGUCAUGACAAUACCAUGCCUCUCCAUCCUUUGUCCUUAGCAACGCAACCAUUUAUGGGACUGCCAUAGAUGGGGACCAUAAAUGAGACUGAGCUUUAGCUCAGUCAUCCUUCAGGAUGUUCAGAGAUGCAGCUUUGCUCCUUCCACCAGACGCCUUUUGAUACCUGUUCAGGCCAUGCCUAUUAAAAAACUGGACUCAGCAGCCAAGAAGACAGCAAGAGAUGGAUGGUGCUGGCGUGCAGCCACUUCAGAUGUCAGAGGCAAGAUCAGCCUGUCGUGGACAGAGACAGACUAAUGAAACCUGCAGGACCGGCAUGCAAUUACCUUGUUUGCCAAACUCAUUAUAGAGAAGUCACAUGUUUCCAGUAUUCUGCCCCCCAUCUGGGAGACAGAGCUGUCAGCUGGGCCAAAUUCUCAGCAGCCUUGGGAUUGCUGAGAUGGUCCCAGCCACUGAUUUUUCCCAGUCUCCAGACAGCAGCCUGGAGCCUGAGCAAGGAGCAUGGGGAGCAAUGUCAGAGACAGCAAAAUGUACUGAAAAAUCUUAUGGCCGUGAAGGCUUGUUUGUACGACUUGCCCCCGUGAUGGGCUGUUAUGGGAAAUGACACAUUGAUGUCGAAAGCCUUAAAUGUUCCUCCGGCAUAUUGAGAAAAACUGCAUGCUUUUCCUUGGGCUGCUGAAGCAACAGGGAAGAAAACAUUUGCUUUCAGCUAAUAAAAGCUGAUUACAGUUGUUUUGGUUUUGUUUUAUUUUGCCGCUGCUGCUGUGGAAAAACAACCCGUCCUGCUGGAGCGCAUCAGUGGGCUGCAAGCAUGUUUCCCAUCAUCUCUUAAUAUCCUUGGGGGCUUUUUUGAAUGCAUGCUAUCUCGUUUCAUCCUUGCGAUGGUUUUGAUGUUGAUGCCAUGUGCUUGUUGUCCUUUAUCCAUUCAGGUAGGAUGUUGCCACCUAGCACCUGACCUCCUUCAGGUGAGGUCAGAAACUCCAUCUGCAGCAGUGAAUGAUGAUGACCCAAAGUUAACAUCAGCUCCUUGCACCCAGCAAGGCUCAGGUACUCUCAGGCGACCUCCUGACUGGCUUCUUUCAUUUUCACCACUUAAUUCCAUGUUUAUCUGCCAGUUCAGAUGAAACCACAGCAGGACGCUACAGGAACCAGACAGGUUUUAUUAUUCAGCUGUAAAAGGCAGACAUGAGAGCUCUCCUCAGAGUCUCAGCAUGGAAUUUCAGAGGAAAAAAGUGGCCUUAUCUUCCUAUUUUACUCCUCAAAAGUGCUAACAGUUCAACGUAACACAUGCGUAACUUCAAGGAACACUGUACAAGUGAAGUGGGGAAUCAACGCUGUCUCCAGAUACUUGGAAAUGCCUCAAUAUUAUGUGCAUGACUUUAAAUUACCUUAUGCAGUUACACGUGUAUGUGGCAACAUACAGAUUUUUCUGCUCAAGUUUUGCUUUGCUCAAGGCUUAGGUAACCUUGCAAUAUUUGUCCCUGUUUUUCUCGGUUCUGUCUUCACAGACCUUGUGUGGGAUUCAGGUUCACUCCUUCCCAGCUGUCCUUCUCUGUGGCACCUGUGCUCCUUGGUCAUGACUGGAUUUUAUUAUUUUUUUUAACAGGCAUGUCAUACAGUGUCUUGUUUUGUAACUGAGGAACCGAGGCGCAGAAGAGCUGUGAACACUGUCCACUGAUUUUUCUUCUUCCAACUUGAAGAUCGCUAGGGCUGGUUAUUUAUUUGUUUAUUUACAGCAACGUGGUUUUUUUUCAGUGGAUUUUCACAGCUUUCUGAACAUUCAACUCUACAAAACUGUCCUUGGGUGUCUCAGACAGUGGGAAUAAUUUACCAACACACAACCCUGGGAAGUUUUUGCUUCAUUUGUCCUAUGAUUUUGUGGAAAAUGACACCAAAGUCCUAUGGAUAGGAGUCAUCUUCCCAUCAAAGCCUUGAAGCAAGGGCUUUGGUGUUGAUGGUGGUCCCUGAUGGCUCCAAGCAGGAAUUUGUUGUUUGAACCAGAGGAAGAAAUAUGGCAAUUUUGUCAAAAUUUCACUACUGAACCUGCUGGCUUAUUCUUAUAAUGUUUUUGUCUGAUUAUCUACAAGGUUGGAAAGUUAAUCUACUCUGUAAUUAAUUGUUUGCUUGUUUACCCUUGCUAUUCUUCCCUUACUGUUUUGUCUCCAGUGGCAAGGGACUUGGUUCUCUAAGAUGAGGCUUCUGUCAUUCAUUUGAGUUUCUGUUUCUAGAUGUUUCAUGGCUUAUUUGUCUUUGGGAAGGUAGCUCCUAGAGCCCACCCUGGCUACGAUAAGCUGUGCCAUAUCAUCACUUUCAUUAGGCUGCUAACGCAAGACUUUGUUGGCCAUCAUUCGUUCUUGUCUGGAGCCAGGUUCUUGCCUGAAUUUUGUGCAUUUUGUUCCCAGGGGGGACUGGGCUGGGCAGAAUUAAGCACAUCAAAUGGCCUGUAAUUUCUGUGAUAGCUUGGAAUAGCCUAUAGAUAGCACCCAAGCAGCUUUCAAGCCUAUCCAACCUCAGUAUCCAGUCUCUUGCCACUGUUCCUUUGCCCCUCCACCUCUGAGCUUGUUUUUCUCAUUUAUCUUCCCUCACCUGCUUUUCCUGCAUCUGGCUUUCAACUGCCCCGGGCUAUGAUGAGCCACCCCUCAUGCCUGCCAGCAAUUUUAAAGGAUUUCUUGAACAUCAGUACAAUUUAGGAUGCUUUUUUCCAAAAAUACCUUUGCUCCAGAAGGACUUCUGUGAGUUGGAAGGCACUGGUGGCACUUUCAAAAGUGCCGAUGUAGUGUAGGAGCUCAUAUCUCAAUGAACAGCAGUAACUAGUGGUGCCUUGAUCACUUAUAUGCUAUUUAGAAUCACUGCCUGUUGUCUUGAAGCAAUCCAGGGAAAUGAUGAAACAUCAGUAUGCAAGGAUUUGCA